rnacentral:lncRNA from 1 species
UUACCAAGAGAGGGGUAAAAUGGUCAAAUAAAACAGAGAAAAAAGAGAGGGGUAAAAUGGUAAAAAGAGAAGGGAUUAAUAUAAGAAAGCAUCCAAUGAGAAUGGUGAAAUCAGAGAGAAAGGACCUUUACUCCCUUUUUAAGUCCACCCAUCCAAUCACACACUGUUUCCUCUCUUUUUAAAAAAUAAAAAUAAAGGUUUAUUUAUUUUUUAAAUAAUACUUAUUAAGUGAGAGAAAUACAAAAAAAAAAAAAAAAAGUUUGUUAGAAGGAUUCUUCUCUCUCUCUAUCUCUUCUCUUCUUCUUAUCUCCCUCCAAAGACGGCGACUGUAAUCUUUUGUCGUAAGAUCUCGCCGGAAAUACAAAAAGAGUAUAACAACAAACUUCUCUCAGAUCAGAUCUCUGUAAAGUUUCAUACCUCAAUCUUAACUUCUUCAUCUGUUUCUGCGCGACGGAUUUGGUUUUUUUUUUUUUUGGUUUGUUUUCGUCGUUAUCUGACGCCGGAGGUGUUAGCGAUUUGAAACCGUGGCUAUACGGAG